rnacentral:rRNA from 1 species
CUACGGGGUGCACCAGUGGGGAAUAUUGCACAAUGGAGGAAACUCUGAUGCAGCCAUGCCGCGUGUGUGAAGAAGGCCCGAGGGUUGUAAAGCACUUUCAAUUGGGAGGAAGGUUAUGUAGCUAAUACCUGCAUAAUUUGACGUUACCUUUAGAAGAAGCACCGGCUAACUCUGUGCCAGCAGCCGCGGUAAUACAGAGGGUGCAAGCGUUAUUCGGAAUUACUGGGCGUAAAGCGCGCGUAGGCGGAUUGUUAAGUCAGAUGUGAAAGCCCUGGGCUCAACCUGGGAACGGCAUCUGAUACUGGCAGUCUAGAGUUUAAGAGAGGGAAGGGGAAUUUCUAGUGUAGCAGUGAAAUGCGUAGAUAUUAGAAGGAACAUCAGUGGCGAAGGCGCCUUCCUGGCUUAAAACUGACGCUGAGGUGCGAAAGCGUGGGUAGCGAACGGGAUUAGAUACCCGGGUAGUC